AUCUAAUCGAUCCAUGAAGUUACUUGGAUAACCGUAGGAAUUCUAGAGCUAAUACAUGCGAAAGGUUCGGUGCCGGGGCAACCCGGCGACGGACGCGUUUAUUGGAACAGAAACCAGGUGGGACAUCACCUCCGGGCAACCGGAGGGUUCCAUUCGACAGACGAUUCACGGUAAGCGUUGCGCGAAUCGAGGGCUCAAGCCUUCGAUGAUGCGAGCGAGUUUCUGCCCUAUCAACUUUCAAUCGUAGUGUAGGGGACUACGAUGGUUGUAACGGGUACGGGGAAUUAGGGUUCGAUUCCGGAGAGGCAGCCUGAGAAACGGCUACCACUUCCAAGGAAGGCAGCAGGCGCGUAAAUUAUCCAAUCCCGAUUCGGGGAGAUAGUGACAAGAAAUACCGAUGUAGGGCCUUUUGGGUUCUACUAUCGGAAUGAGUACAACUUAAAACCAUUAGCGAGGAACAAUUGGAGGGCAAGUCUGGUGCCAGCAGCCGCGGUAAUUCCAGCUCCAAGAGUGUAUAUUAAAGUUGUUGCGGUUAAAAAGCUCGUAGUUGGACUUUGGGUAGGAGCACGAGGUCCCCCGCGGCGUGCCGUGGGGAUCGAGGCCGAGCGUUUCCCUCCCUGCUCUCGGAACGUCACGAUGGUAAAACAUUGGUUCCGUAGGGUUUACUUUGAAGAAAUUAGGGUGUUCAAAGCAGGCGAAUCGCCUUGAAUACAUUAGCAUGGGAUAAUGAAAGAUGACCUUUGGUCUAUACUUUAUUGGUUUCUAAGGCUUAGGUAAUGAUUAACAGGGACAGUUGGGGUCGCUUGUAUUCAGUGGUCAGAGGUGAAAUUCUAGGACCCACUGAGGACAAACAAAUGCGAAGGCAUUCGACAAGGAUGUUUUCAUUAAUCAAGAACGAAAGUUGUGGGAUCGAAGAUGAUCAGAUACCGUCGUAGUCACAACCGUAAACUAUGUCGACUUAGGAUUCGGGGAUGUUAAUAGAUGACUCUCCGGGCACUAUGUGCGAAAGCAUAAGUAUUCUGACUCCGGGGGGAGUAUGGUCGCAAGACUGAAACUUAAAGGAAUUGACGGAAGGACACCACCAGGAGUGGAACCUGCGGCUUAAUUUGACCCAACACGGGGAAACUCACCCGGUCCGGACACGACGAGGAUUGACAGAUUGAUAGCUCUUUCUUGAUUUUGUGGUAGCCGGUGCAUGGCCGUUUUUAGUUGGUGGAGUGAUUUGUCUGGUUAAGUCCGAUAACGAACGAGACCUCAAUGUGCUAAAUAGUGUCGCUCACCGGCGGAUCUCCGCGGGCGUCA
rnacentral:rRNA from 1 species